rnacentral:rRNA from 1 species
UACGGGGGGGGCAAGCGUUGUUCGGAAUUACUGGGCGUAAAGGGUUCGUAGGUGGCCAACUAAGUCAGACGUGAAAUCCCCGGGCUCAACCCGGGAACUGCGUCCGAUACUGGCAGGCUUGAAUCCGGGAGAGGGAUGUGGAAUUCCAGGUGUAGCGGUGAAAUGCGUAGAUAUCUGGAGGAACACCGGUGGCGAAGGCGGCAUCCUGGACCGGUAUUGACGCUGAGGCGCGAAAGCCAGGGGAGCAAACGGG